GAUAGCAAGGUUUUACAUUCUGUAUCAAGUUUACGAAUUAAUUUACGGACUCACAAACUUUACCACAACGGUCACCGGGCGCAGCAAGUUCGACGAGUUUGGCUAGUCUACUAUAUGGCCUAUAUAAUCUGACAGCAGACACUUACUGCACUUAUCAGCUGUUCGUGAGACACGUCAUUUUGGGAUUAAGUACAGUGAAUUGAUAUAUAGAUAAGUGUAACGAUUGAGUGAAUCAUAGGUAAUAAAAUAUAGAUAACGGAUAGGACAUUAUAGUUUUUCAUGCCAAAAUUAUAAGAAAUUGAGGCAGUUUAUUUAUAUUGUAG